rnacentral:lncRNA from 1 species
UACUCACAUACAAUCAGUAAUGUAGAAGUAACUAUUGGUAUACUUACAGAUGUGCAUGAUAUGCCUGGACACUGACAGCAAGCUGUCUCUAAUGAGUAAACACAAGUUGGAGGAGGCAUAUGAACAGCUAACUGGACUGUCUUUGUAUCGUGGAGGAAACCUGAAGCAAACAAUCUGUGUGCUGUGUGCUCAGAGAUUGAUUAACUUCAGUAGAUUUAGAGACUUGUGCUUGAGAGCCCAUUCACUGAUGACAGACUUACUUGCACAAGAUGAAUUAGACAGGAAGUCGGAGGCUGAAUGAUGUCCCUCCCCCGGCUGCAGACUGCGCUCAGGCUUUAGUCGCUCCACUGUCCGCGAGACUUGCGGCAA